GGACCCCAAGCUAGCACCAGUAAGGUACACAAGCUCAUCCCAACUUGUUUUGCUGCUUGUCAUCCUACAUCUGUGAAAUUUAAUGCAAAGAUUGGGGAAAAGAUAGAGAAAAUUACAAGGGAGUUGGAUGCUGUUGCAAAACGAAAACAUGACUUUGAUUUAAUGAAGGGUGUUGGAGGGUUGUCGUUUGAGAUGGAAGAAAGGUUACAAACCACUUCCUUGGUAGAUGAGUCUAGCAUUUAUGGUAGGGAUGCUAAGAAGGAGGCUAUCAUUCAAUUUCUCUUAUCCGAGAAAGCCUCCAGGGAUAAUGGUGAUAAUGGAGUUUCUGUAGUUCCCAUCGUAGGUAUGGGUGGGGUUGGUAAAACAACCCUGGCUCAAAUUAUCUACCAUGAUAAGAGGGUGGAGAGCCACUUUGAUACCAGGAUUUGGGUUUGUGUAUCGGAUCGAUUUGAUGUGACAGGGAUAACCAAAGCAAUUCUAGAGUCCGUCACUCAUAGUUCAACUGAUUCUAAGAACUUGGACUCAUUACAAAAUAGCCUGAAGAAUGGAUUGAAUGGGAAAAAAUUCUUCCUCGUUCUAGAUGAUGUGUGGAACGAGAAGCCCCAAAACUGGGAUGCCUUAAAGGCUCCUUUUAGGGCUGGUGCACAAGGCAGUAUGAUCAUAGUAACAACUCGUAAUGAAGAUGUUGCAUCGAUUAUGCGCACUACUGCCUCUUCUCAUCACCUUGAUGUGCUAUCCUAUGAAGAGUGUCGGCUAUUAUUUGCAAAACACGCCUUUGCACAUAUGAAUACAAACAUCCGCCAAAAGUUGGAACCAAUUGGUGAGGAGAUAGUAAAAAAAUGCAGAGGCUUGCCUUUGGCUGCAAAGUCGCUUGGAAGUCUAUUACACACUAAAGAAGAUGAAAAUGCUUGGAAUGAAGUACUGAAUAAUGGCAUAUGGGAUUUUCAAAUUGAACGAAGUGACAUUCUUCCGGCUUUAUACUUGAGUUACCAUUAUCUUCCUACAAAUUUGAAACGAUGUUUUGCAUAUUGCUCCAUAUUCCCCAAGGACUAUAAAUUUGAAAAAAGGAACUUAGUGCUGUUAUGGAUGGCCGAAGGCUUAUUAGGUGGCUCCAAAAGAGAGGAAACUAUAGAAGAUUAUGGUAACAUGUGUUUUGACAAUCUACUUUCAAGAUCUUUCUUCCAACAAGCUAGUGAUGAUGAAUCAAUAUUUUUGAUGCAUGAUUUGAUCCAUGAUUUAGCACAAUUUGUAUCGGGAAAAUUCUGCUCUUCGUUGGAUGAUGAAAAGAAAAGUCAAAUUUCCAAACAGACUCGACAUUCUUCUUAUGUUAGGGCAGAGCAAUUUGAACUCUCCAAGAAAUUUGAUCCAUUUUAUGAAGCUCAUAAUUUGCGGACCUUUCUUCCUGUACAUACAGGUCAUCAAUAUGGUCGUAUCUUUUUAAGCAAGAAGGUCUCAGAUCUUUUAUUGCCAACAUUGAAAUGCUUACGGGUUCUCUCUUUAGCUCAUUAUCAUAUUGUGGAGUUGCCUCACUCAAUUGGAACUUUGAAACACCUACGCUACUUAGAUCUUUCUCGUACUUCAAUUAGAAGGCUCCCUGAAUCAAUAACCAACCUUUUCAACUUGCAGACAUUGAUGUUGUCAAAUUGUGAUUCUCUUACUCAUUUACCCACAGAAAUGGGGAAACUGAUUAACUUGCAGACAUUGAUGUUGUCAAAUUGUAUUUCUCUUACUCAUUUACCCACAGAAAUGGGGAAACUGAUUAACUUGCAGACAUUGAUGUUGUCAAAUUGUAUUUCUCUUACUCAUUUACCCACAGAAAUGGGGAAACUGAUUAACUUGCAACAUCUUGAUAUUACCAACACUAUAUUAAAGGAGAUGCCAAUGGGAAUGAAAGGGUUGAAACGUCUUCGAACAUUGACUGCUUUUGUUGUUGGUGAGGAUAGAGGGGCAAAAAUUAAAGAGUUGAGGGACAUGUCACACCUCGGUGGCAGACUUUGCAUUUCCAAGUUGCAGAAUGUGGUGGAUGCUAUGGAUGUCUUCGAGGCUAAUUUGAAAGGCAAGGAGCGUCUUGAUGAGUUAGUAAUGCAGUGGGAUGGCGAAGCUACUGCUCGUGAUUUGCAGAAGGAAACAACUGUGCUUGAAAAGCUACAACCUCAUAACAAUUUGAAAGAGCUGACCAUCGAGUACUAUUGUGGUGAAAAAUUUCCUAACUGGUUAAGCGAACAUUCAUUUACCAAUAUGGUGUCCAUGCAACUCCACGAUUGUAAAAAUUGUUCAUCCUUGCCAUCGCUAGGGCAACUUGGAUCUCUCAAGGAGCUCUCUAUUAUGAGGAUUGAUGGAGUGCAGAAGGUGGGACAAGAGUUCUAUGGGAAUAUUGGGUCUUCUUCGUUUAAGCCAUUUGAAGCCCUAGAGAUUCUGAGGUUUGAAGAGAUGUUAGAGUGGGAGGAAUGGGUUUGUCGUGAAAUUGAAUUCCCUUGUUUGAAGGAGCUUUAUAUCAAGAAAUGUCCAAAGCUGAAAAAGGAUUUACCGAAACACCUUCCUAAAUUAACAAAACUUGAGAUUAGAGAAUGCAAGCAGCUGGUGUGUUGUCUUCCAAUGGCUCCCUCCAUUCGUAAAUUGGAGUUGGAGAAAUGUGAUGAUGUGGUGGUUAGGAGUGCGGGCAGUCUCACCUCAUUGGCUUCCUUGGAUAUAAGCAAUGUUUGUAAAAUACCAGAUGAAUUAGGACAACUGCAUUCUCUUGUAGAGUUGUAUGUGCUUUUUUGUCCCGAGCUAAAGGAAAUUCCACCCAUUCUUCACAACCUUACCUCUCUUAAAGACUUGAAGGUCGAGAAUUGUGAGAGUCUUGCAUCUUUUCCGGAGAUGGCGCUGCCACCCAUGCUUGAAAGCCUUCAAAUUUUUUCCUGUCCCAUUCUGGAGUCCCUACCAGAGGGAAUGAUAGCCUCCUUCACAAAGCUUGAGACGCUUCAUUUAUGGAAUUGUACAAAUCUGGAGUCCCUUUACAUUCGAGAUGGACUUCACCACAUGGAUCUCACAUCUCUCCAGUCAUUGGACAUAUGGAAUUGCCCUAAUCUGGUAUCUUUUCCGCGAGGAGGAUUGCCCACUCCCAAUUUAAGAUGGCUUGGGAUAUAUAACUGCGAAAAGCUUAAGUCACUGCCCCAAGGGAUGCACACCCUCCUUACAUCCCUUGAAUUAUUGACAAUAGAAGGUUGUCCAGAAAUUGAUUCAUUUCCAGAAGGGGGUUUGCCCACUAAUUUAUCUAGCCUUUACAUCGUGAAUUGCAACAAACUCUUGGCUUGUCGGAUGGAGUGGGGCUUACAAACGCUUCCCUUUCUUAGAACGUUGCAGAUUGGAGGAUAUGAGAAAGAAAGAUUUCCCGAGGAGCGAUUUCUGCCCUCCACUCUCACCUCCCUUGAAAUUAGGGGUUUUCCAAAUCUGAAAUCCCUGGACAAUAAGGGGCUUCAGCAUCUUACCUCUCUUGAAACUCUGGAGAUUUGGAAAUGUGGAAACCUCAAGUCCUUCCCAAAACAAGGGCUGCCCUCCUCCCUUUCACGUCUUUAUAUUGGAGAGUGUCCUCUGCUGAGGAAACGAUGCCAAAGGGAUAAAGGGAAAGAAUGGCCCAAGAUUUCUCACAUCCCCUGCAUAGCGUUCGACCAAUCGGAUAUGGAAAAUGGGGAGGUGAUCUUAUCAUGAGGCCCUUGCAUCGAAGCUCUUGCUCUCCUCUGCAUUUAUUGGCCCAGGUACUUUAUUCUUUGUGUUUUAUUUUCAUUUACCAAUUCCCCGUGAGUCAGCAAGUUUAUAACUACUCUAGCAUCCAGAUUCUUCUACCUAAUGGUGCUAAUAUUUUUAAGACUUUAUUUUAUAAUUCUCUUAUUUUUGAGACAUCAAGUGGGCGUCCAGUAGAUAGUCCAACUAUAUAUUUUGUGGGGGUAUCACUCAAAUAAAGAAUAAAGGCAAAGCACCACUUAGAUGUAGUUUGGAUAUAAUUUUAUAUUCUCUAUUUUUAUAAUUUUGCUUUUCUUUUUUCAUUUUUUUUGUUAUCAAUUAUUUUAUAAAAAAAAAAUUAAAAAUAGUUACCAAAUGAUUUCCAAAGUCACUUUCAAAUUUUAAAUCUUGAGAAAAAAAUGCAACUAACUAUAUCAUUAAUUUGUUAUAUUAUUUUUUCAUUUUUAAUCAGGAAAUAUUGUAUUUGAUGUUUAUUAGCCUCUUGCUUUUACUUGGUGUGUUUCAUUAAAAUUGUUACUUUAAAAGACAACAUUCUUAUGCAUAGAAGUUGUUUGUUCAAAAAACAACUUUAAGAGAACUUCUUUUUCUUUUAAGUUUAGAUAAUUUUUACUAAAGAUAAACAACUUGUAUCACAUAAAAAUAUUACUUCAAGAGGCAACUUUAAUGUAAAUUCAUUUUUUAAUUUCAAUGUGUGUCUAAUAUGAAAUUGUGGAAAUUAUUUCUUUAAGUGACAACUUCCAACAUGACCAAAACUGUUGUAAAUUCCUCAAUAUUUUUAAUAUGGAAAGUAUUUUUUUCAAAAGUCAUCUUUAGUAUAAAUUUGUAAUUCUUUCAAUAUGGAAAUUGUUUUUUCAAAAGACACUUUUAUUAUACAUUCAGUUAUUUUUAAUAUGUGCUUAAUAUAAAAAUUGUAAAAGGUGUCUCUUUAAGAGAUAACUUCUAGCGUUGUUAAAAUUGUUGUGAAUUCUUAAUAGUUUUACUAUGGAAAGUGUUUUUUCAAAAAACAUCUUUAAUAUAAUUUUAAAAAAAAAAUAAGUGACCGAUAUGAAAAUCGUGAAAGAUAUAUCUUCAAUAGACAACUUUCAAUGUGACAUAAAAUGUUGUAGAAUUUGAAAUAUUUUCUUAUGUGUUGUAUUUUAAAAAAUUAAUUUUAAAUUGAUUGUACUUUUAUCAAAAACCCAUAUUAUAAGGUAAACAUGUACAUUAAAAAAGGGGCAUUAGACAUGUGAGCUUGUUGAUUUCCAUGUGUGAUUUUGAUGGACAAUGUUUAAUAUCUUUUAAAAGAAGUUUAGGCAAUUCCACAUCAAGCUUAAGUCAUUGAAAUGAGAUAAGGCAAACCCCAUUAAGUGUGUUCUCUUUUGAGCCCAAAAAUCAAUUAUACCUAUGAUUCAUAAGAUGACCACAAGCCUCGAUAUACUUACUUUGAAAUCAUAUAAUUUUGUGAAAAUUGUACCAAUAUAUAUAUUUACUACUUUCUUAUAGUGAACUCUCUCCAAUAAUAGUCAUUUUUUUGGAAAGUUUAGUAUUAUAUGUGAAUAUAGGUGUUAAUAAAUUCAAACAACUAUUAGUAGUUUAGUGACUAGGUGAGCUUGUUCCUUGGUUAUAAUUUGUUGGGAUGUUGAUUUUCAAGUUGCUUUUGUAAACAACUUGUCCCUUCCUAAUUCUAUAUAUGUUGGCAUAUGUAAAUAUAACAAUUCAUUGCAAAACUAUUCACGCCAUGAAGAAUUUUUGGAUGCAGGAGUGUCUACUAUCUUGUUGUUGAUUGAGGAAGGUUGUCUACCAGAAUUGUUGGCUUCCUUGAUUUUCUACUUGGUUUUUGCAAGCACAUCAAAAUGUAGGGAGCAAAUGGAGAAAACAACCUUGUAAAGCUCAUGUAGACAAAUGAUUCCUAAUUCCAAGACAUCCACUUUAGAUUCUUCAAAUAUGGCAAAGGGUUCAACAAACGUAUUCAUAGCAACAAAGUGCCUAUUUCCAAUUAGGUACCAUUCUUCCUCUACAAUUCUACUUUUUGAAGGUGUAAUUUAUUUUCUUUGGUGUUCACAUAUCAAGAUAAUUUCUACCUUCUAGAGAAUCAAUUUCUCUCCUCAAAGUUAAUAAAAAAACAUGUUUCUCCCUAAAAUUGCUAAAAAAAAAAUUCAUUAAGAUCAUUUUUGGAGAAAAGCGUGAUGUUUAACUUAGGCAACAUCAAAAUUUGAUUGGUGUUGAUGUUUGCUUUCAGCAGUGCUUGGAAUCUGUGGGGAUAAGCUAAGGUGACUUAGUAUAAGUUCAAAAUCAUGGAAAUGGGAUAAGAUAAGGCCUUGACAAACAUAAACCAAGCAUAGUGGCUAUGAAAAUUUUGAUGGAUUUUGCAAAAUUUUUACGAAUCCUUUUUCUAUUAUUACUUGAGACAUUGCUCUCAACAAGUGUCUAUAGGUUCUAUGUUGUGAUUUUUUUACAAACUUCUCAUUUUUCGAACAUUGAUGCAUCUAAAGCAUCCAAUUAAUAUCAUUGGUAGAGAAGGUUGUGCACUUCUUGAUAUUUGCAAGUAUGGUACCACAAAACAACAAACUUUUCCUACCUAGUGAAGGACAUGUAGGCAUAUCUUCCAUCUAGAGAUGUUACGCUUGAAUGUUUUGAAAAAUUUUAGAUGGAAUGGAGGGUUUUUGAAAAAGUAUUAGUAGUUGCAAUUACUUUACUCUCGAUUAGGUAUGUCUUCUAUUUUCUAAAAAAUGUUAUGCUUUGCCUUGUAGUGAGAAUACACAUACAAUGGGUUUCAAUUGGGGGUAUCAAAUCUUUUUUCCAGGAAUGCUUCCCACACCUAAAUGUGGAUCCAAAUGCUUUGAAUCUCAUAAUGUUAGGACAACUUAUAGCCUAUUGUUCUUGUUCAGAUUUUUUUUUCAUUGCUCAAUAUUUCCAUCCUAUGCGUCUUUGGUCACUACUAGUGGUCUAGAAUCCAUAAGGCACUGUCAUUGCAUUGAUUCCAUGAUCUUGCUCCAAACAAAAGUUUAGUACUUUGGUUAAGGAUUGUCAUUACUAGUGCCCCAUUUCUUGGAAGGUAUAUUAAUGUUAACAAAGUCAUUGUGCAUUUGUUGUUCUAGAUUGAGUAAUUAUGUAAAGGGAUGAACUAUUAUGUUAUAUCCAAAGAAACAUACUGAAUUGUUAGAAUCAUCAUAAGAAAAGCAGAGGAUCCUUUUGCCUACACAUUCAACUUAUAUUUUUGCUUAUGUACUUCAAAUUUCCAAUCAUUGAAAAUAAGCUUAUGAAUCAAAUAACAGGGAAAAAAUUGUUAUUGUUGAGAUUCUAAACAAAGAGAAAUGGUUCAUGUGCUUGAUGAACUAAUGAAAGCUAUUGCAUCUAGGUCAAGGUUAAACCUUCAAAAUGCAUUUGCAUAUCCUACAAUAUAUUUCACCAACUAUUUAUGGAGUAGAACAUUUUCAAGAAAUGAGAGGUUGCUCUAUCUUUUAAACUAUGGUACAAAGAUUAUCAAAUGUUCCGUUGUUGCUUGCGUUAGCCAUUUUAAUGUUGAGAUAUUGUUUUCUAUUUUAUACUUUUCAUUUCUUUCAACAUACUCACUUCUUUCAGUUCAACAACACUACUUAGAUCCUUUCUGAAUUUUAGUUCUACUUUACAUUCCGAAUAUUUUAAAUCAUCCUUGCUUUAUUUCCUUUUCAAUUUAUUUCUAAACUCUAUGAAAUUAAAAAGUAAUAUUAACUCCAAAAUUAAAAGGUAAUACAUAUGAUUUAAUUAUUUCAUCAGCUUCUUCUAUAUGUGAAAACUAUAAUUUAAUAAAGUUCUUUAAACUUUAAACAUGUCCUCCUCUUCAUCUUAUGCAGCUUCCACAUUGGGCAUCAUUUAAGAAUUUGAAAGAAGUACUUGUACCUGCAUAAUAAUGAGAGGUUCAUUUGAAGGAGGCACCAUUGAAGCAUGUCGGGGUGCAUACUGUUGGGGAAGUAAAAGAUGGUUAAUCAGCCUUUCAGAAGUCAAAAUUUAAUUAGAGGUUCUAAACUUUUGGAACUCCAGUGCAAUGAAAAGGUAAGCAAAUUGGAUAGUUUCUAUUAACCUACCACAAAUUCACUUUUAUAUUAAAACCUAUCUCAGAGAGGAAAUUAUAUCAACCUUUCCAUAUAAUUUAGUUUUGAUUUUUUGUUUCUCUUUUUUGUGAAACAUGUGGAUACAUUUACGCAUGCUUGUUCCUAGGUUGGAGACUUUGAUCAAGUUAAUACACUUUCCCAUUCUUCUCUCUUGCAUAGGACUUUGGUAUUGCCUUUUGUAUGGGAAGAGCUUAAUCAGGCAUGCAGAGUGAUUCUCCUAUUGAUUAUCAGGUUCUGUAGCUAGAAUUUAAGUGGCUGAUAUGAACAUCCAUAGUGGCUUCAUAUCCAUGCAUUUGUGAUUCCACAAUCAAAAUUUACUAAAAUAAGCAUCUAAAGCAUCUUUAACUAAUAUCAUUAGCAGAGGAAGGUUGUGCACUUGAAUUAUUUUGUUACUCGAUAUAAUAUUUAAUUUCUGCUAGGAUGAUGUGACAAAGAGAAAAUGGAAAGAUCUUUCUAGCAAAGCUCAUGUAGGGAAACCAUCCAUAAGAGAUGUUACAUUUUUGUGUUCUGAAAAUUUUCAGAUAGAAUGAAGGGCUCUGACAAAUGUACUAACCGCCGCAAAGUGCCCUGCUUUCGAUAGGUAUGUCUUGUACUUUAUGAAAAAUAACAUGUUUUGUCUUAUAGUAAAAAUUCACAUACUAAACUAUUAGAAUCAUCGAGAUAAAAGUAGAUGGUCUUUUUGCUUACACAUUGAAGAAAUUUCUUUGCUUAUGUAGACUGCUUUAUAUUUAAAGUAUGGUAUGGAGGUUAUCAUAUGCAUCCUAUUCCAUCGGUGUUUGCAUUGAUGGUCAAGAUGAUUAUGAUAAGACUGAAAGAGUGUCUUAGAUGAUUAUGAGUUUUAUUAUCUCUUCUCUGAACUGAAGAAAACUGUGAGAAUUUUCUUUUCAUAUUAUUUACUCUGCAGAAAUAUACAUUUAUAGGGAAAUAGGAGAUUACCAACAGCCUGGUAAUUCCUUAAAAAAAAACUCUGUCAGAUCCCACAAGAGAGGAAACUAUCUUCUAUCUAUAGAAAAUAAUCUACAGCUAUUUACAACUAGCAAAUCUCUAAUUACAGCUUGUAAUAUCUUCUAAUUUCAUCCUACAAUCAUCCAUAAACCCGGAAUUCCACAUGAACAAAACCAUUUCUUUCAUUUCAACAACUCAAUUUCAGUAGUAAUCUAAUUUUGGAAUUGCAAUGCAAUGAAAAGGUGGCAAAUUGAUCUAAAACUUGUCCCGGACAGGAAAUUAACUCUGCCAUGCAAUUUUGUUUUGGAGUUUUUGGUUCUUGAUUUUGUGAAAUAUGAGAAUGCAAUUAUAACUACUUGUUCCUAGGACGAAGAUUUUGCCAAUAGAGAUAGCUUGUUGGAAGGUGAUGUGGAAUCAUAAAGACGUGGAAUCAUAUGGAAGAGAUAAGCAAAUGAUACACUUCCAAGUUCUCCUCUCUUGCAUGGGACUUAGGUACACCAUUCUGCAUGGAAAGAUGUGGGAAGAGUGAUUCUCUUCUUUGUUAUUAAUUAGUUCAUCGUUAAUUAGCUGGAAUCCAAGUGGAUGAUAUGAACAUCCAUACUGGCACCAUUAUGAUAUUUCUUGGAAAUUAUCUGCAGGUGGAACUUAGAUUGUAUUUUGCUAAUGAUUUGUAUAUCCCCUGCCUUCAGUCUUGGGAUAGCAGUAUUCAGAUAGAUUUCUGCCACCUUUAAUUAAGAUCUUCUGUUCCCAUAAAACCAUGUGUAAGCGAUCCUACUUUCUAUCACUGCAGAAGAGCCUAUCAUCAAAUGAAUGCUUUUUGUUGACUUCCAUUACAUGGUACCUUGAUCCAACACUGGACUCCAAAAGGAGAACAAUCAUGCAAACUGAAAUGUAUGUUGAUUCUAAUAACUUAAUUCUCAAUCCCUAACUUGAGGAAAUGAGAGGCUAUUAUAAAUGGAAAUUUUAUCAGGUUUCUCUAGCAGCACAUCCUGACAUGGUAAUCUUCACAGGAAAAAUUAAGAGAAAUGCUUUUAAGUUUAGAAAAGCGGAGUAAUGAUGUUUGAAGUUGAUAGAAAUGUUCGAGGAUUUCGUCUGUCUUUAAUGUAGGUAAGAUAUUAAGUAGGUCCUUAACAAAAGCAGUUUGUUGGAGAUGCAUAUCCUAAGACAAUUGUUUUUUCACUUUAAGAUUGAAUUUUAGCAUUGGUUUAUGAACAUUGUAUUGCACUUCAUCACUUGCAGGCUUCUGCCCAACUCAUUGGAUUUCUCAAAUACUUUCCUUCCUUCAUUUCCCGUUUUACUGGGGUUUUAUAUCUUGCUCCAUGCUGUCUAGGAACUCAAAAUUCCUCAGAUAUCCCUUUCAGUUGUUCAUAAGGUAUGAAUAUAUAUUGGAUUGCACUUGUUUCCACACUUGCAUUCUUCUGCUAUAAUUAUUUUUAGAAGUGGGUAUUCAAUUCUAUUGUGUGCAACGAAAUCUUUUGUCUUUUUGAUUCCUUUAUUUUUUUUUUUUAGGUUGUAAAUGUGCCUCAUAUAUGGCAGCUUGUUCAUGGAAUACUUGGAUGUGCAAUUCAAUGAUUGGGGUUCUCAUAGUUGCUACAAAUUUGGCGCAAAAUAUCACACACACUCCAAUUAACUGGAUGACUUGACCAUCAGAACAAGCUAUUCAGUUUUAUUUUUUGUUUUUAAGCUCCCAUGAAAAGAUGGCAAGCAUUAGCCUUGGCCCAUGAAAGAAAGCCAUUCUCAUCAUAACUGAUUUAUAUGUCAACUAAAAUGGUAGCGACUUCACAUUUCUUCAACAUCUGCAGAUGUUGGAAACCUCCAUUGAUGGCAAGUUUCUUUCACUGUUUCCCAUGUACACAUAUGUUGUUCCCACAAACCAUGCAUCUUCUAUUCUCUCUUGGGAGAUGUUUUAUGAUGAGAUAUUGCUAUUUGUAUAUGAUAGGUAGGAUGUUCAGUGUUUUAGAGAUUCAACUUAUUGUGAGGUCAUUCCAAAUCUUAAAAGUUGUUGCAUUCUCAAUAGAAGUGAUCUGUUUUCAAACUUUCAAAGCAGAUAUGAUUGAGUUCAUUCCUCUUAUAUGCAGUUGAAAAUAUAUUCAUAUAUGUUUAUUUUUACUUACCACUUGAUGUGACAAAUACUUCCUUGAUCUAUUGAAUUAUUUAUAUGAGAGGAAGAGACUCUGUUGUUCUUGCUCAAAUUAGUGGGAAAACAACUUUUUAUUUAAUAAAAUGUUUUUUCGCUAUGUUUGAUUCCCAAAAAAUUUGAGAGAAAAUGUGAGGAAAAAAUAAAAAUUGAUAUAAAGUCAAUAAAUUAUUUUUAUAUCAUAUUUCAGACUCAUUUAACUUGUUUAACUCUUCUACAAAAAAAUAAUAAUAAUUUAAAAACAUAAAAGUUUCUUAGUAAUUUUAAUUAUAUUUAACCUUUUUCGUAUUUUUCAUAGUAAAAUCAAACAUGAGAAAAUAAUUUUUCUUAACAUUUUUUCCUUUGCUAAAUACUUUCCUGAACUCAAGAUAGCCUUACAAUAGUUGAAGUAUCCUUAUUGUUUAUAAAGGCAUAUAUAUAAAGUAAUUAAAUUGAUUUAUCAUUCCAAGAGUUUGUGUUUUGGCAAAAUCAAUAAGGACAUUUGUUUGAUUCACUACAACAAAUUUUACAUUUGCUACCAUAAUUUUAGCCACAAAGAAGAUUUUUUGAACAAAUUUUAUUUUUAUAGCAAAAAAGAUUUUUUUGAGAUGAAAUUUACAUUCAUAGCAAAAUAGUAUAUUUAAUCACAUCAUAUAUUUGUGACAAAUAAUUUUUUAUAAGAUUUUGAUAUGAAUUUUGUAUUUAUGGCAAAAAGUGACAUUUAAUUGCAAUGAUAUUUAAAUGGAGGAAUGAAAAAAAAAAUUCCCUUUUUCAAUAAAAAUAAGUUAUAGGAAAAUUGGAAGGCACUAAUUUGGUAUCAUAUCUAGCAUCCAAAUAUUAAGGUAUGCGACAAAAGUUGGAUCAUUGAAUAGAGAUAUAAAAGAAAGGGAAAAAAAUAAUAUUUUUAAAUUAUUUAAUCCUUAUAUGAAAGUGCUAAAAUAAAUUUAAAAUGAUAAAUAAAAAUAAUUUAUUAACUAUAAUUAUAAUUUCUAAUGUAAUUUAUUACCUUUAAUCAUAUUUCUUUUUUUUACAUUUACUUUUUUAUUUCUUUUAUUUUUUCCCACCUAUAUUCUUGAGAAACAAACAUAAGGUAAAUUAAUGUCAUCGCUUUUUGGUAAAAGAAAAACCCUCGAAUUAUAUUAGUCCAUCAUCAAAAUGAAAUGAAGGUAAAGGAUCUUUGAUCCUUUUUAUAUAUGAUGAUGGAUAAAUUCAUGCAUGAUAAAAAGCAUUUCCACUUUUCAUCACUUUAUAGGUGAUGAUUGGUAUACCUCUUCUUGUGCAAGUUUUAUGUUCCUGAAUUAUUGAUUCUUCUCCCCCCUUCUUGUGCAACUUUUUUGAUGUUAACUAGUUGUCACUUUUCCUAAAUUAUUGAUCCUUCUGUAGAACUAAAUGGAGCUCAUGAAUAUAGAAGAAUUUACGAGAGAUGUGUUUAAUUAUGCUACUUGUUAAAUAUUUUCCUUAAAUUAUAUUUGUAUCACAUUUUUAAUUAUUUGUGUACGAGAAUAGUUAACAUCAUUUCUAAAUAUGUCGGACCAUGAUCUUAAUCAUACAAAUUCACGAUUUACUUCAUCAAUCAUGAGUAUCUUUAAAUGAUUUAAAGAGAUAACUAAUAUUGUUUGAUUGAUGUGGUAAAUAUUUAUCCUGUUUAGGAUUGAGUCAUGUGUCACCUUUUGAAUACAUGUCACGUGUUAAAUGUGUGUGCGACUCAUUAUUUGUUGAAUCCAAAUUUUGUUGUAUCAGAAAACCUAACAUAUAAAUAUCUAAACGGUGUUUAUUUUGAUCUUGGUGAGCAAAAUAAUCCCACAUUAGUUAUCCCAAGAUACAACAAUUUGUCAGAUAAAUUGAUCAAUGCAUCAUUUGCAUCGAUAUAUGGUAUUUUAGGGCUAAGUGUUUUUUUUUUCUUUAAUAGAAAAUAAGUUCAUAUUAAUUUCAAAUUUUUAUUAAAAACAUUAAUAUAUCUAUAUGAAGUGUUUCUUUAAAAAAAUAUUUUUUUUCAAUUUUUAAAGGCGUUUUUUUUAAUUUUUUUUUUAUAUAUAUAAUUCAUAGAAAGCUUUGGGAGACUACGAAAAAAGAAAAUGUGGGGAGAGAGGGCAUGAGAGAGAAUAUGGGGACAGAAGCAUGAGAAACAGGGAGGAAAGUUUUGUUUUUUAUUUAUUAUUUUAUUUGUUAUUGCUUUGAAAACUUGUUGACCAAGUUACUCUUUUUUCUUUCUUUUCUUUUAAAUAACUUUUUAUAAUUUUAUAUGAAAUUUAUUUUUAUUUUUCCAUUUUUUAAUAAUAAUAUCUUAUUCUCUUUUUCCUUUUUAAAUUUUAAAAAUAAAAAUAAUAAAAAUAAUAAAAAUAAUGGAAAUAAAAAUUUAAAAUAAUAACUAAUAAAAAAUAUACAUAUAAAAAUAAAAAAUAUAUAUAAAUUAAAAAAUUAAAAAAUAAUUAAAAUAAUCCUCAUGAGUACACCUAUAUUAUAGUGAUUUAAUUAAAAUUAGGGUUAAUUUUAUUUAUUUUCUUUAAGGUUUUUGUUUCUAUUAAAUACAUUUAAUUUUUAUAAGUUUAAAAUUUUAUUAAAUAUUUAUUUUAUUAUUUUUGAAUGAAAUUAAUUCAUAAAAUUAAAAUUUUAAUAAAUUUUUUAAUAUUCACUUUGUGAGGAAUUCUUUUCUCUUUUUUAUUCAAACAUUGUUUAUCAAAGUUUUUCUUAUUUAUUAAAUCAAGAAGAAAAAAAAACCAAUGAUUUGAACUGUCAGUCUUUUUAAUGACACAAAGGACACUGGAAAAGACUAAACUAGUAAAAGCAAAGAGCGAGAAAGGAAGAAUAAACCACAAUAAAUGGUGAGAAAAAGAUAAGAAAGGAGGAGGAGAAAGUGUUGUCACCUCGCGUAUCCGGUGGUCCACGUUGCUGUAAGAUGGAUGGACACACGAUUCUCAACACACAAAGGGUUCUUGAUUCAGCGGUUGUACCUGCAAAAGGCAUCCGGACAGGGUGUCCGGACGCACCCUCCGAUGGUUUUGUUAGCCAUGGUAAGAGGGGAAGAUAUAUGAGGCAGUUGGCCUUUUUCUAGGUGUUAGGAAGUUACCAGUAGGAUCCCCCUCUUCUUCGUAUGAAGGCAUAUAUAUACAGCUUCAGGGGUACUGUUCCUCUCAUUAAUGGUGAUGAGAUAUUUUAUGUUGUGAUGAUGACAAUAGGUGUCAGUAGGAGCAUUAUCACCCUACGAACGACUGUCAGAAACCAUGGUAGGUGAUGCGGCUGUCAGAGAUCGUGGGAAGGUGAUCAUGUAGAAUGAUCGUGGGAAGUGACUUGCUAUCACUUCAUUUUGUCUUCUCACUCUGCAGGUGACAAGAUGUGGGCCAUGGCUGCUUGUUGUGAUUGCGUGUAAGACUCGCUUUACUUUAAUUGACCAUCCAGACGAUUUAUAUCCGGAUGGCUUAUGCUGAUUAUCCGGAUGUGUUGUGGAGACUAUCCGGAUGUCUACGCUCUGCCAGCGUCGUUUGCUCUUCCUUGGAUAGGAGAAGCUGAAACGUCGUUUGCCUUUCCUUGAGGCGGUCCGGAUAGGAUAACUGCACCAUGCAUAUCCUUAGGGGAAUCCGGAUGAUGAUGGUCCGGCUGAUAACACGUGCCACGUGUCACCAUGAGCUGCGUGCCACGUGUUUCCCAAGGGGAGGGGUCCCUACAUUGCCCCCCUUUUUAACUUGCCUAUUUUGCCCAAAAAAUGGGCGGGUUAAAAAUAACUGGCUUGUGAAAAUUGAAGAAGUCCCUUCGCCUGACUGGGCCACGUGGCGAGUGGGGGUGCGGAAACCAAAAAGGCAUUUAUGACGAGCCGUCGACCCUGUGUAUCCCCAGACAAUAUGUCGUUUCAAUGAUAACAUGGCUGUCCUGCUAUAAAUAGGGCACUGUACCUCUUUUUGCAUUUUUUCCUACUGCAUUCUCUUGAGAGCCUUUCUUCUUCUUGCUUUUUUCUGCGCCCUUUGCUUCUCUGAGAAAAACUUCGAAAGCUCUUUUGCACCGGUGUUUUUGUAUCGCGACUUCGUUUGUUUGCUGCUGGUGAUUUCGCACCGAGACAGUAACCGUUCUUCUUCUUCAGAGCUUUAUUUGGUACGUACCUCUUUGCUACUGUCAUUCCUUUGGUUGCGUUUGCUGGUUCUUUAAACUUGGUUUCUGGCUUGCUUGGGCAUUGUUUUGGGCAAGUCGCUUGCAAUUUGUUGUUGAAUGUUGGUACUUUGUCGGUGUUCGGGGGGGGUUUUUGAGGGGUGUCUCUGACUGCUUUGGGUUAGGGUUUGUGUAUUUUCUGACUGCUUGGUUUGAACCGUUGCAUUGCUUUUGUAUGUAGAUUUUGGUUUGGCUUUGUGGUAAGAAAUGGCUCCAAAAAAGACUGUUUCAUCUGCCCGGGUUAGCGAGGCUGGCGAAAAGGCGAUAGACAAAUUAGAUGUGAAGGAGUUUCGGGAGCGGUUCUGCAUCCCAAAUGACGUAUUUAUAAACUUGGUGAACGAGGAGGCGGCUAUGCCUACUGAGAAAGGUGAAGAAAACGUUAUCCUCUUCACAAAGGAACAAUUCAACGCGGGGCUCCGGUUCUCUCUGCCGGCGUUGUUCAAGGAAUUCCUCCACUUCUCUCAGGUUCCACCCAUCUUCAUUCAUCCCAACCUUGUCCGGGUGUUGAUGGGAUGCAGCAUCAUCAACAUGCUGUACAACCUCGACCUUACGCUACUGGAAGUGUUCUUUGUCUAUUCCCUGAAGAAAGCAAAAAAUGAUAUCUUCAGUGUGUCCGCGCACCUGCCCUCCCUUCAAGUGGUGACAGAGCUGCCAGAUUCGACAAAGGGAGGGGCGAAGGGGCUGGUGGCGGUCCGGGGUGGAUGGGCGGGGCUACCGGAGCGUGCGUCGAGGCCCUUUUCUCCAAAUUAUACCUUAAAAAUUCCGGGUAUUCUUGUUUUGCGAUUCUUUGUCCGGAUUUUACUUUGCUGGUUUUUUUUGCUGAUUUUCCCGGACGGAAUUCUCACCUUUUGUUGCUGUUAAUGCAGGUCUGGAAUUGAGGGGCCACCUUGUGGAUUGGGUGGAAAAGGCGUCCUUCGCCUGUGUCUGCAAAUUAUCCGAGAUAGAUCCCAAGGAGAGGGCCUACAAGACAUUGCUUUCCGCGCGGAAUUUGAUAGCGGUCGUCCGGGAGUCCCAGGAAUAUGUUAUCAAUAUUCUCCCCAGGAAACUGGCAAAGGAUGAGAUAGUGUCUGGGGAGCAUUAUACUGUGAAGGAGCUCCCCCUCUAUCAGGAAGCUAAAGAGGCUGAUGCUGAGAGACGGCGAAAGCUCCUGGAGGAUCGAGAUCAGAGGAAAAAUGAAGGCACUAUCCGGAAGGCUCCCGGACAGAAGCGGGGUCCGGAUUCUCCUCCAAAGAAAGCUCCAGCAAAAAGGAGGAAGCUGGUGAAGAAGAAUGGGAAGGAUGUGAAGGAACCCACUCCUCCCAAGGAGUUUCCUCCUCCGCAAAUUACCUAUGAGGGGGAAGUAAUGAUAGAGGAGCCAGUAAACGCUGCUCUGCACUCUAUCUCAAGCGGCCCCGGACGCAUGUCGGGGUUGAACCAUUCAGGCACUUCCUUGGCCGCGGUUGCGCGUCUGGCUAACGUGGCUGAGGAAGCUGCAUCUAUCAACCGUCCGGGCAACCUUAAUCCGGAUGCUGAUGCAGCUGAAACGACCCCGUUGGAGGAAGCGGGGGCAGAAAGCCAAAGUCAGCCUUCCGACGACCCGGAUCGCUUGGCCAUAGUCCCGGUGAAAGGGCCUCCUUCAAAGAAGCCGCGUUCGACGCACGAUCUACGGUCCGGACUCCUUGGGCGGCUUCAAGAGCGGCAGCAAGAGAUUGAAGUUAGCUGCGCUUCUGCCCAUGACGCUCAUCCGGAUGGAGGCGAGGUGGAGAUGACAACUGAGACUUCGGCCGCCCCGAUAAUAAUUCCGGCUGAAGAUGUAUCCGGACAGAUGCGUCCGGACGAAGAUGUGGAGGUCCCGAAUCCGGGACAAGAGUCACCUUCUGUUUCCUCAUAUGAGGAGGAACCUGCUGACGAUGCAGCUCCUGCUAGCCCUUUCAGCUACGCGGAGUUGGAAGUUAAGCUAAAACAGAUUACACCCGACUGGAAAGCCAUCAAGCCCUCUGCUAAGAUGUUUGAUAAUGAUAGAAACNNNNNNNNNNNNNNNNNNNNNNNNNNNNNNNNNNNNNNNNNNNNNNNNNNNNNNNNNNNNNNNNNNNNNNNNNNNNNNNNNNNNNNNNNNNNNNNNNNNNNNNNNNNNNNNNNNNNNNNNNNNNNNNNNNNNNNNNNNNNNNNNNNNNNNNNNNNNNNNNNNNNNNNNNNNNNNNNNNNNNNNNNNNNNNNNNNNNNNNNNNNNNNNNNNNNNNNNNNNNNNNNNNNNNNNNNNNNNNNNNNNNNNNNNNNNNNNNNNNNNNNNNNNNNNNNNNNNNNNNNNNNNNNNNNNNNNNNNNNNNNNNNNNNNNNNNNNNNNNNNNNNNNNNNNNNNNNNNNNNNNNNNNNNNNNNNNNNNNNNNNNNNNNNNNNNNNNNNNNNNNNNNNNNNNNNNNNNNNNNNNNNNNNNNNNNNNNNNNNNNNNNNNNNNNNNNNNNNNNNNNNNNNNNNNNNNNNNNNNNNNNNNNNNNNNNNNNNNNNNNNNNNNNNNNNNNNNNNNNNNNNNNNNNNNNNNNNNNNNNNNNNNNNNNNNNNNNNNNNNNNNNNNNNNNNNNNNNNNNNNNNNNNNNNNNNNNNNNNNNNNNNNNNNNNNNNNNNNNNNNNNNNNNNNNNNNNNNNNNNNNNNNNNNNNNNNNNNNNNNNNNNNNNNNNNNNNNNNNNNNNNNNNNNNNNNNNNNNNNNNNNNNNNNNNNNNNNNNNNNNNNNNNNNNNNNNNNNNNNNNNNNNNNNNNNNNNNNNNNNNNNNNNNNNNNNNNNNNNNNNNNNNNNNNNNNNNNNNNNNNNNNNNNNNNNNNNNNNNNNNNNNNNNNNNNNNNNNNNNNNNNNNNNNNNNNNNNNNNNNNNNNNNNNNNNNNNNNNNNNNNNNNNNNNNNNNNNNNNNNNNNNNNNNNNNNNNNNNNNNNNNNNNNNNNNNNNNNNNNNNNNNNNNNNNNNNNNNNNNNNNNNNNNNNNNNNNNNNNNNNNNNNNNNNNNNNNNNNNNNNNNNNNNNNNNNNNNNNNNNNNNNNNNNNNNNNNNNNNNNNNNNNNNNNNNNNNNNNNNNNNNNNNNNNNNNNNNNNNNNNNNNNNNNNNNNNNNNNNNNNNNNNNNNNNNNNNNNNNNNNNNNNNNNNNNNNNNNNNNNNNNNNNNNNNNNNNNNNNNNNNNNNNNNNNNNNNNNNNNNNNNNNNNNNNNNNNNNNNNNNNNNNNNNNNNNNNNNNNNNNNNNNNNNNNNNNNNNNNNNNNNNNNNNNNNNNNNNNNNNNNNNNNNNNNNNNNNNNNNNNNNNNNNNNNNNNNNNNNNNNNNNNNNNNNUAGGAAGGCCUAUUUCAGUGGGAAUGACUGCAUCCAUUCCAUAUGUGAGGGCGAAAGGAGUGUUUCCUGUUGGUCGUCCGGGUGUGGUUCGAUAGGCCCACAGGACGCCGGGUAGCUCCUCCACCCACUUCCCUUUGGCUUGCUCAAGCCUUUUCUUUAAGGCAUUGAUUAGAGUUUUGUUUGUGGCUUCCGCCUGCCCAUUGCUUUGAGGAUAACGCGGCGUGGAGUAUGAAUUCCGGAUAUUCAGUUCCGAACAGAAAUUCCUGAAUGCAAUGCUGUCAAAUUGUGGACCAUUGUCAGCUAUGAUGAUUUGGGGAAUUCCAAAGCGGCAAACAAUGUUCUUCCAUACGAAUUUGGUGACAUCUUUAUCUUUGAUGCUUGCAUAUGCUUCGGCUUCUACCCAUUUACUGAAGUAAUCAGUGGCGACAAGGAGGAAUUUCUUCUGGGCAGGUGCUGCUGGGAGGGGUCCCACUAUGUCCAUGCCCCACUGCGCGAAAGGCCAUGGGCCUGAGACCGAUUUCAAUGCUGCCGAUGGCAUAUGUGGAAUGGGAGCGUAUCUUUGACAUUUAUCACAUUUUUGGACAUAUGCUGCCGCGUCUUUCUUCAUUGUUGGCCAAUAGUAUCCUUGUGAAUGAGCUCUAUGUGCCAGGGAUCGUCCUCGCGUAUGAUUUGCGCAUAUUCCUUCAUGUAAUUCAGCUAGCACAUACUGGGCCUUUGAAUGCCCAAGACAGCGAAGAUAAGGCCCUGUGAAGGAUCGCUUGUACAGGUGCCCCCCAAUCAGGGUGAAACGGGCAGCUUGCACCCGGAUUUUGUGCGCUUGUUUAGGAUCUUCGGGUAAAGUGUCUGUCCGGAGAUAUUCUGCAAUAUCAUGCGUCCAUUCUUGAUCAUCCGCUUGGUCUGCCUCAAUGGUGUUGCAAGUGGAAUUUUCUGUGACAGAAGGAUUGGUUUGUACAUGGAUAGGCAAUAGAAUGGCUUCUCUGAUGGGGAGGGAAGCAGCUAUACCGGCCAAGGCGUCAGCGCGCCCGUUGUCAGUUCGCUUAAUUUUUUCGAUUGUCCACUCGGUGAAUUGCUGUAAGGUGCUUCUUACUUUGGCCAAGUAUCGCGCCAUGCGUGCGUCCUUAGCCUCAUAUUCUUUCUGGACAUGCCUUACCACUAGCUGCGAGUCGCUAUAGAUCCGGAGUUUGGAGACGGAUAGAGCAAGGGCGAGGUCCAAUCCGGACAGGAUGGCCUCGUAUUCUGCUUCAUUGUUAGACGCGGAGAAUCCCAGCCGGAUGGCUUGCUCCAGAUGCUCCCCAGUUGGGGACUGUAGUAAGAGCCCAACUCCAGAGCCUGAUGAGCGUGAGGCUCCGUCAACUCGUAGAGUCCACCACUCCUGUUCACUUGAUUCGUGGUGCUGGUUGGGUCUUCGUGAAUAUUCUAGCACGAAGUCGGCCAUUACUUGGCCUUUUUUGGAUAAUCUGGGUUGGAAUUCGAUUCCAAAUUCGCUCAAUUCGAUGGCCCAUUGUAGCAUUUGCCCAGUUAAAUCUGGUUUGUGCAGAAUGCUACGAAGGGGUUGGUCGGUCAGUACAAUCACUGGGUGGGCUUGAAAAUAGGGGCGGAGCUUUUGAGCAGCACUUCGAAGAGCUAAGGCUGUUAGCUCCAUUUUUGAAUACCUGGUUUCUACAUCUGCCAAUGCUCUGCUGACAUAGUAGACAGGUUUCUGCUCCUUUGGUGAAGGGCAGCGGAACAGAACGGCGCUGAUUGCCCAUUCUGAGACAGCCAAAUACAUGUAUAGCUUCUCCUUUGGGAUGGGGCUGCUCAAGAUGGGUGGAUGCAUAAGACAAUGUUUAAUUCUUUCCAAAGCGUUUUGGCAAUUGUCCGUCCACCUGUGCGUUCCAGCUUUUCGUAUCGCCAAGAAGAAGGGUCGCAACUCAUCAGUGAAGCGGGCUAUGAAACGCCCUAACGCAACGAGUUUGCCUGUGAGGCGCUGUAACUCUUUCUUGUUCCUGGGAGGGGGUGUUUCAAUGACUGCCUUGACUUGAUCCGGACUGACUUCUAUGCCUCUCUGGCUGACCAUAAAUCCCAGGAACUUGCCAGCACUUACUCCAAAGGCGCAUUUAGAAGGAUUUAGCUUCAUGCCAUACCUUCGCAAGAGGUGAAAAACUUCUUGUAAGUGAAGAUCAUGCUGCUCUCGGGUUUUGCUUUUAACCACAAUGUCAUCAAUAUACACUUCUACCGUGUGGCCUAUUAGAGGUUUGAAGAUUUUAGUCAUUAAUCUCUGAUAAGUGGCGCCAGCAUUUUUGAGUCCGAAUGGCAUGACUUUGUAGCAGUAGAGGCCAUGUGGUGUUAUGAAUGCUGUCUUUUCUUCGUCAUCCGGAGAUAUGGGAAUCUGGUGAUAUCCGGAGAAGGCAUCCAAGAAAGAGAGCAUCCCUUGUCCGGAAGUGGAAUCCACAAUUUGAUCUAUUCGUGGUAAGGGAAAACUGUCUUUUGGACAUGCGUUAUUGAGAUUGGUGUAAUCAACACAGACUCGCCAUUUGCCCUCUUUCUUUGGUACCACCACUACAUUUGCCAACCAAUCCGGAUAAGAUACUUCUCUGAUGAAUCCGGCUUCCAGCAAUUUGUCAAUUUCAUUUCGGAUAACUUUUUGUCUAUCCGGAUGAAAGCGUCUAAUCUUCUGUCGCACGGGUCUGGCUGCUGGAAAGACGUUAAGCUUGUGAGAGGCAAUAGAGGGAUGAAUUCCCUUCAUAUCCGAAUGUGUCCAUGCGAAGAUGUCAUGGCUGUUUCGAAGGAUAUUUUGUAUGCUCUGAGUUUCUUCUUGUGUCAUGAGGGAACUGAUGUUCGUGAGGUGAUCAUUCUCUUCUGAGAUUUGGAUUGUUUGUAAGGGAUCUGCUGCCGGGGGAUCCUUGUCCGCCGGACCCAAUAAUUGCUAUUGGUCAUGCGUAUGGCUGGGUUCAGGGGGAGAUGCAUCCUCCUGGCUAGUUCCCGCUUCUCGUGCUAUUUGAUAGCACUGUCGAGCGGCCAACUGGCUGCCAUACAAGUCAGUUUGCCCUUCAUUGGUGAGGAAACUCACCAUUUGAUGAUAUGUGGAAGGGAUGGCUUUCAUGUAGUGAAGCCAUGUGCGUCCCAAGUUGACAUUGAAGGGUGAUAACUCUUGUACCACUGAGAAUUGCACGUUGAGAGUGACUGGGCCAGCUUGGAUCGGCAGUAUAAUGUUUCCUAAGGAUGUGGUUGAUGACCCGUUGAAUCCGGAUAAGAUUCGUCCGGGGUUUUCGAGACCCGCGAGACUAUGUCCCAUAUGGCCAACGACUGAUGCUUGCACCAGAUCAGCUGAACUGCCUGGGUCGACCAAGAUACGUCUUACAUCGAAAUCUCCUAUUUCUAGGGAGAGGAUGAGGGCGUCGCGAUGUGGCUGUAGCGUCCGGGUGGGAUCUACUGGUGGGAAAAUGAUUGUCCCCAUCUAUGGGGCGAGGGCCCUCUCCAGCGAGACCCGGCCGGAUGGAAUUAAUGCGUUCGCGUAUUGACGCGGCUCGCAGCAAUUUCUGCCUUUUCCACCUGGAAUCGUAUUCCUCGUCAGAUGGGCCCCCGUUGAUAUAGUUUAUGACAGCCUUGGGGGCGACUGGGGCCCUCGGGGCCCCAGAGUUAUGAUGUUGAGAUGCGUCCCUUCCUCUAGUAUCUGAGCGGAGGUACUGUUUUAAAUGUCCUGCUUUGAUGAGCCUUUCAACUAGAUACUGGAGGGACCGACAUGUCUCUGUUGUAUGACCAUGGUCUUUGUGGAAGGCGCAUUUCUUGCUGCGGUCUCUCAUGGAUGGGUCCGUUUCGAGGGGUCUAGGCCACCUGAAGUCGGACAACCCUUGGAUCAUUGGGAGAAGUUUUUCGUAUGAUACGGAUAGGGGUGUGAUGGGCGGCCUAUUCGGACGACUCGGCCCGUCCUGCCUCCGGUCAACUGGUUUUGGCCGGUCCGGAGGUUUGGCAUGUCUGUCCGCGUUAUCUCUAGAAGCCCAUCCGGCAACCAAAACUUGCUGAGUGGCUGCACGUACGUCAUCUUCGAGCAUUGAAUAUUUGUUAGCACGUCUGAACAAAUCGUCCAUCGUUGUAGGAGGCUUUUUGGCCAGCGAUUCGAAAAAUGGAGUGCCUGGACAGAUGCUUCUCUUGAAGAUCUGUAGGACAGCAUCCAUGCUGCAAGCCUCUAUUUGAAGUACGGCUUGGCCAAAUCGUUUCACAAAUUCCCUCAAGGAUUCGUUGUCUCUCAUUUUUAUGUUCUGGAGGGUGCUGAUAUUCUGCUUGUGUCGAGUAGAGCACAAGUACUGUCCCACGAAAGCUUCAGAGAGGUCCCUGAAAUUGUUAACAGAGUUAGGAGGUAGGCGAUGAAACCAUGAGAGGGCCUGCCCUUGAAGGCUGGCGGGAAAUACUUUGCAUAGCAAUGCAUCGUUGCCAAUAUCGAGCGUCAUAAGCUGUCGAUAGUGCAUGAUGUGAUCGAAGGGAUCGUUGGUCCCAUCGUAUGUGGAAAACUUUGGUACGAGGAAUCCCCUUGGGGGCUCGUAAUGGGUGAUAUGAGAGCAAAAGGGCGUGGAGAGCAUGUCAUCCAGCCUUUUGCUGAUGGAGCCAAUGGGUGGCUCGUUUGAGAGGUUUCUCCCAGCUGGUCGUUCCGCUAGGUGUGAGUGAACGUUCCGCAUCGCUGGGGUGACCAUGGGGUCACGAUGCGGAGGUACGUUCUGCACCAUGGGAGCGAUCAUAGGAUCGGGGCGUGGCACCCGGGUUGUGGCUACUGGUGGCCUUGAUCUCCUAGGCUCUUGUGGGCCUAGUCUUGCGCGCAUAGAACUUGACAACUGUGAUUUUCUAUCACGUUGUCUUUUUGCUGAAAAAUGAGUGGAAUCUGAGCUUUCCUCACGGGGAGCUCGAGGCAUAGGUGUAUGUGGCUCAUGGGGCCUUGCGUUGUAUGCUCCUGGGACAGCUCCUGUUGACCCAGGAUAUAUUGAUUCUGGCUCUGGCCUUGAGUUUGCCACCUGGCCUCUUGAAUGCUGACGACGAGGAGGACCUGACGUUGAGGCUUGAACGCGUAACACAGCGUUUUCUUCCCUUAACCUCUCCGUCUCCUGGAGGAGAGCUCUUAGCUGUUUUUCGCUCGCCAACUGUCUUUUUUCAAUGGCCUGACGCCAUUCGAGAUUAUCUUCCUCCCCUCUACCAGAUGAUCGACUUUGGGAAGGUGUGGCCAUCUUUGCUAGUGACUGAAUCAAAAUAAAAAGUAAAGCUUCCCACAGACGGCGCCAAUGUUGUCACCUCGCGUAUCCGGUGGUCCACGUUGCUGUGAGAUGGAUGGACACACGAUUCUCAACACACAAAGGGUUCUUGAUUCAGCGGUUGUACCUGCAAAAGGCAUCCGGACAGGGUGUCCGGACGCACCCUCCGAUGGUUUUGUUAGCCAUGGUAAGAGGGGAAGAUAUAUGAGGCAGUUGGCCUUUUUCUAGGUGUUAGGAAGUUACCAGUAGGAUCCCCCUCUUCUUCGUAUGAAGGCAUAUAUAUACAGCUUCAGGGGUACUGUUCCUCUCAUUAAUGGUGAUGAGAUAUUUUAUGUUGUGAUGAUGACAAUAGGUGUCAGUAGGAGCAUUAUCACCCUACGAACGACUGUCAGAAACCAUGGUAGGUGAUGCGGCUGUCAGAGAUCGUGGGAAGGUGAUCAUGUAGAAUGAUCGUGGGAAGUGACUUGCUAUCACUUCAUCUUGUCUUCUCACUCUGCAGGUGACAAGAUGUGGGCCAUGGCUGCUUGUUGUGAUUGCGUGUAAGACUCGCUUUACUUUAAUUGACCAUCCAGACGAUUUAUAUCCGGAUGGCUUAUGCUGAUUAUCCGGAUGUGUUGUGGAGAUUAUCCGGAUGUCUACGCUCUGCCAGCGUCGUUUGCUCUUCCUUGGAUAGGAGAAGCUGAAACGUCGUUUGCCUUUCCUUGAGGCGGUCCGGAUAGGAUAACUGCACCAUGCAUAUCCUUAGGGGAAUCCGGAUGAUGAUGGUCCGGCUGAUAACACGUGCCACGUGUCACCAUGAGCUGCGUGCCACGUGUUUCCCAAUGGGAGGGGUCCCUACAGAAAGGUGAACCAGGAGGAAGCAGAGAAAGCACCAAGAUCUUAGGUAAGUGUUUACCCUCCUGUUUGGUUGCUAAAGAAAGAAACCCAGCUUGCUUUUUCUUCUCCUGUGCAGCCAUAAUGCACUUGUAACCAUGUUGGAUCUGUUAACAUGUUCAUUUAGGUAUCCUAGGUUGGUGAAUGACUGCAUUCUUUGAUGAGGAAAUCAUAUAUGGGUCAUGUCUUUUUGAAGUGCUUUUUAUUUAUUUUUGUGGCUUAAUUAUCACACAAUCUAUGAAGAAAACAAUUGUGAUGGGUUUCUUUGUUCACUGCAACUUGGUUUAGCCCAGUUGGGGUGGCAAUAUUUGAAAAUCAAUUCCUCAAUAAUAAGUCAAGUUAAAUAGUUUAAAUUUAUAAUUAGGUUAAUCAAUGAGAUUAUUAAAUGGGUCAAUUCAUGUCAAAUUUGUAUUAUGCAAGUUGAUCAAAACUAUCUUAUUUAUUAAACAAGUUAUACAGGUUGAUGCGAAUUUCACCAAAACUUAAAUUCAAACCUACUAAACGCAUGUUAGAUUCAAGUCGUAUUAACGAACCAUAUCAAAUUUUGUCACCCCUAUCUUUAACCAUAAUGUCUCCAUUACUUUAGUAACAAUUAUAUUCAACUUUGUAUUGUGUAUAUAGCAACAUAUUUUUGUAACUUAAACUAGCAUGACACAGCUUUCCUUGCAAAAGUAAUCAAAUACCUUAUGAUGUUACAUCAAUAUAAUAAAAUCUAUUAAAUUCAAUUUAAUCAAUUUCUCAAGUCUUUAACAUAGUAUUCAUUGCAUGUUGGGCUCCAUUUGAAAUAGUAUCCAUAAUCUAAUGAGACAUAAACUAUCAACCUUUCAAGAUUAUUUUUAUCAUCCUUGAGUCUUAGAUCUUCAUACUAUGUGAUCAACUAAUAUACUCUAAUUCAUUAAGAACAUAUGUUAAAUUUCCCUAAAAGAAUUAUUGCGAGUUACAGAUUUCAUAAUCAUAAGUCCUUAUAAUUACUUAAAAAAACAUAUUGUCUCAAAACAAUAAGAUAUCAUGAUGCCUAUAUUAAAAAUAUUUAUUGUCAUUUGCCUUAAUUAAUAGUAACUCGAUUUAUAAGGAAUAUAUGACCACUUUAGAGUUUUACCUAUAGGUCAAAGUCAUUGAAGCUUUCAACACUAAUUCAAUAUUCUUUUAAGGUUGAGAACUCAUAUAACAUAGUGGCUUGGUGAAGUCAUGACUACCCAAUAAUUAAUGUCACGACUCACUGUAAGUUUUAUCAAAUGUAUAACUAUACAUACGAGUACACUCACUAUAUAAACUCAUUCUGAUAACUAAAACAUGUCAUCCUUCAAAUUAAGAAGUAGUGUGCUAAAACCUUAGAUUGAUUGUCUAAGUUUUUAUGAAUUGGUUGUAAACAAUUCAUCAACUUGCAAGUAACCUAUAACUUGUAUCUUCCGUACAACUCCUAAAAUAUACUCAAAUCAUAUGCAAUGCAAGUGAUAUAUACCUGAGUGUUCAAAUAAAUAUUAAUGUAAAUAAUGAAAAAUAGUGGAAACAAAAAUCAUAUUAUAAAUCUAUUAUGAAAUUUUACUUCGUUAAAUCAUGUUAUGCUUUUAAAGACUUUGAUUUUUUUAAUUGGAUCUUGGGCUAUUAGGAUUAGAUCUUGGGUUUUAGUUGUUUCAUUUGAUUUUGGGCUUGUUGCAUUUUGGGCAUUUAUAAUUUUGUUUGGGUACACUAAUAAUUCAUUUGAUCGAGGCUUCAAUUAUGUGAUGUGGGCUAUGGGCUGAGAUUAUUUUUGGCUUUGGGUUCUCUGAUUUAGCCUAGUUUUGAUCAUUUAAUUUGUUGUUUUGGGCUUUGGUUUGGAUUGAUAUUUGAUUUGGCUUUGGGUCUUGGAUUUUUUGUUUCUUAAUUUGGAAGUAAUAUUUAACAUUGGCUUUUGGGCUUCACUUUUAAUAUGUAGUUUGGACCUUGCUUAAUUCUUAUUUGAGCCCCUGGUUGGAUUAUUUCACUUUGGCCUAUUGAUUUGUUAAAUUGGACUUUGUUUUUGUGCUUGUGCUUGUGCUUGUUUGUGAUUUAGGCAUGGUCUAUUGUUUUGGGUUUUAGUUUGAUUGUGGGCAUUGUGUAUUACUUUGGGCUUGGGCUUUAUAAUUGUUUUGAAUCUGUUUUGGUAUGGGCUUGGUUAUUUGAUUUGGACCUUCUAUAUAGGUUAUUUGAUUUGGGCUUAGGGCUUUCAUUUAGUUUAUUUGAGAUUGGUUAAUUUGAUUUGGAUUUGGGCCUGUUAUAACUUGCUUGCUUUUCUUUUAUUGAACAGGAUCAACAAAAGUGAGCUUCAUAUGUGCCUCUCUCACUCUCAUUUCUUCUUUUCUUUUGAGUACUAUGUGUAUUUUUAAAAAGAAGCAGAAUAUGUGGACUCAAAGAUUUGAAAAACCGCCUUUUUUUAUCAAACUGUUUUCAUAUUUUCUUAUUCUUAAAUAUAGAAAACCGUUUUUGAAAAUAGUUUUCAAAUAAAUCUUAUAUUUUUUAUUAUUCUCUUUCCCGUAGAGAUUGGUAUUGCAAUAGCAUUUAAAGAGAUGUCAAUGGUGGAGCUACAACUUCUAUAUUUUUAAAUUAUUCAACCUUUAUAUAGAAAAAUUAAAAUAAGUUAAAUGAAUUUAAAAUAAUAUAUAAAAUUAAUUUAUUAAUUUUAAUUUUUUUUUCUAUUUUUCUUCUCUGUCUUCUUUUCCUUUUAUUUUCCCUUAAAAUUUAUGAGAACCAAAUAUAUUUUUAAUUUUUCAUACAAAGCUUUUGCAACUUGCUUUAAACCAUAGACUUUUUUUUUUAUUUUUUAUUUAAAGACAGGAUUUGGAAAGUCAUUACGCAUGUUCAUUAAUAUAUCCAUUUAGAAAAGUUUUUUUAAUACCAAGUUGAUAUAAAACAAAAUCUUUAUAACAUGUAACAAGUAAUGUUUUGAUUAAUUUAAGUUGGAAAAUGCUAAGCUACAAAACCAAUACUUGUGAUCACAAUAGAAUGACAUUAGAGUGCAACAUAUCAAGUGGUAUUUUUUAGUAGGGUACCCAAAAAGUACUAUUUGGUACUCUCAAGUAAUAGACUCAUAACUUUAUAGAUUAAAUUCGGUUCAUUGUGACUCUAUUAUUUGUGUCUUUUGUUUUUUAAUUUUAAAAUAGUUUUUAAAAAUAAAUAUUAGAAAAUAUGAUGAAACAAACCUUAUCUUUAAGAAAAUAAGGUAAUUCAAAAUACAUUUUACAAUAUUUUUCAAAAGGCAAAUUAUAAAUUUCUUUAUUUGGUUUCUCAUAUUUGAAUCGAGAAAAACUGUUUAAAUGAUUUUUCCUUAUCAUUGAUAGCAACUAUUUGAAUGAAAAUAUAAAAAAUAUCGUGAAUAUUCUCAUCAAACUCCUUGAUAGCAACUAUUUCACUUAUCAGUCAAAAUAAAGUUACCCAUAUAUAGUAAAAAUAAAGUUACCCAAAUAUAAAAAAAGAUUGAAGGAUGCAACCAAUUUGGGUUAAAUUACCUUUAUAAUUCUUUUAAUAAAUAGGUAAUUUUUGGGUCAACUUGUAUAAUACGAAUCUAACCAUGUUAACUAAUUUAAUAAUCCCGUUAUUCACCUAAUUAUAUAUUUGAAUUAUUUAACUCAUUUUAAAUUUGUUUUUAAAUAAAUAGGUCGAUUGAUUCAAAAACAUGUUUGAUUAAGACAUUAAUUACAUGGAUAUUUAUAAGAUUCAAUUUAACUUAAUUAUUAAUAGAAAAAUCUAAUUAUUAAAUGAGUUAAAUAGGUUAAUAAUCAGAUAAUAUUUGAAUUUAUGAUUUUAAUAUGAUUAUUAUUAAUACUAAAUUUGGAUAAAGCUAUGUAGUAAAAUACUCGAUAAAAAUAAGAACACACGAGCCAGCCCUUGCUUUUAAAUUAGCCAAGGUCAUUCACGCGCUUUGUGGGCUCCACAAUGUCUGAAACUUGAAUGCAAUGUACCAACCAUUUUUCUGCACCAGUUUAUGGCAAUGGCAGUCCGUACUCCAUAACCAAGAAGAGCUGUCUGGUACCUGCCAUGAAACUUCAAGUAAUUUUCCGGGUUGUUCUAUGGUACCCACUUUUCAUUUUGGGUACCUACCCAUAUUUGACCCCAAUAAAAAUAUGACACGUGUAAAGUGUAUAUCAUUAAAAAAUUUAUAAAAACUUAUCAAAUCGGUAAGGAUGACUUGUUGGUGAGAAAUAAUCACAUGCAUUUCAUAUAUAUCUAAAUAUUACAACUUUUUUAUAAUUUAUUAUUAAAUAUCAAAUAUAAUUUAUUAUUUAAUGCAUUACCUAACUCUAUCUAAAAAAAGAAAAUCUUACCUACUACUUUUAUACUCUCAUUAUUCAUAUAUAAAAAAAAGGAUAGUAAUUUAAUAUGAAAACUACAUAAUUUCAACUAUCAAAUUACAAAAUAUGUAAGAUGUAUUUUGAUGAAUCAAAUUUCAAGAUCAAGUUUAAAACUUUUUGAGAGAGAAAAUUUAAAAUUUGUAUUAUAUGAAGAAGAUGAAGGAUUUCAAGUGAUUACAAGUGUCAAAGGUAAUAUUUGAUAUUUUUUUUAUCCAAAUAUAAUUGUUGUAGGAAGAAAUGUGAUGUUAAAUAACGAUUUUAGAAUUUUUUAUGAGUUUAUUAUAAAAUUUUGUUCUCAAAUUGUUAUUAAUAUUUUUAUAUAAUUUUUUUUUUUUUUGUUCAUAGAUUAAAUUUGAAGAUGAAGCUUUAUAUGUCUUGAAGGAUGUCAAGUGAUUACAAGUGUUAAAAGGUAACAUUUGAUUUUUUUUUUCCAUUUAUAUAUAACUAUUGUAGGUAGAAAUGUCAUGUUAAAUGACAUUUAAAUAUGUAAUGAUUUAUAAUAUCUAGAUUUUUUAAUUUUUUUUCUGAGUUAUUUUUAAUCCAAUUGAGAGCAUUUAGUAAUUUGUUAUGAAAUUGUCAUCAAUAUUUUGUAAAAGAUGGUACGAACUUUCUAAGAGAGGGUACGAACUUUCUAAGAGAGGGUACGAACUUUCUAAGAGAGGGUACGAACUUUCUAAGAGAUGAUACGAACUUUUUAAGAGAUGGUACGAACUUUCUAAAAGAACUUUUUAAGAGUGGGUGCGAACUUUCUAAGAGAGGGUGUGAACUUUUCAAGAGAGGGUACGAACUUUCUAAGAGAGGGUACAAACUUUCUGAGAGAGGGUACGAACUUUCUAAGAGAAUGUACGAACUUUCUAAGAGAGGGUACGAACUUUCUAAGAGUGGGUAAGAACUUUCUAAGAGAGGGUACGAACUUUCUAAGAGAUUGUACAAACUUUCUAAGAGAGGGUAUGAACUUUCUAAGAAUGGGUACGAACUUUCUAAGACAGGGUACGAACUUUCUAAGAGUGGGUACGAACUUUCUAAGAGAGGGUACGAACUUUCUAAGAGAUGGUACGAACUUUCUAAGAAUGGGUACGAACUUUUUAAGAUAGUGUACGAACUUUCUAAGAGAGUGAACGAACUUUCUAAGAAAGGGUACGAACUUUCUAAGAGAGGCAACUUUCUAAUAGAGGGUGCGAACUUUCUAAGAGAGGGUGCGAACUUUCUAAGAGAGGGUACGAACUUUUUAAGAGAGGGUACGAACUUUCUAAGAGUGGGUAAGAACUUUCUAAGAGAGGGUACGAACUUUCUAAGAGAUUGUACGAACUUUCUAAGAGAGGGUAUGAACUUUCUAAGAAUGGGUACAAACUUUCUAAGACAGGGUACGAACUUUCUAAGAGUGGGUAUGAACUUUCUAAGAGAGGGUACGAACUUUCUAAGAGAUGGUACGAACUUUCUAAGAGAGGGUACGAACUUUCUAAGAAUGGGUACGAACUUUCUAAGACAGGGUACGAACUUUCUAAGAGAGUGAACGAAUUUUCUAAGAGAGGGUACGAACUUUCUAAGAGAGGGAACAAACUUUCUAAGAGAGGGUACGAACUUUCUAAGAAAUGGUACGAACUUUUUAAGAGAUGGUACGAACUUUCUAAGAGAACUUUCUAAGACUGGGUGCGAACUUUCUGAGAGAGGGUACAACUUUCUAAGAGAUGGUACAAACUUUCUAAGAGUGGGUGCGAACUUUCUAAGAGAGGGUGCGAACUUUUUAAGAGAGGGUGCAAACUUUGUAAGAGAGGGCACAAACUUUGUAAAAGAGGAUACGAACUUUGUAAGAGAGGGUACGAACUGAUCUUUCUAAGAGAGGAUACAGACUUUCUAAGAGAGAGUACGGACUUUCUAAGAGAGGGUAUAGACUUUCUAAUAGAGAGUACGAACUUUGUGAGAGAGGGUACGAACUUUGUAAGAGAUGGUAUGAACUUUGUGAGAAAUAGUACGAACUUUAUGAGAGGGGGUACGAACUUUGUGAGAUGAGGUACGAACUUUGUAAGAUGGGGUACGAACUUUGUGAGAUGGGGUACGAACUUCCAUAAUUUCUUUAAGAGUAAUUUCCAUCAUUUCUAAGCUUAAUUAGUAUCAAUAAAUAAUAUUAUUGUAUUUCCAUGUGGAAAAAAAAUUUGAAAAGUUUGAAAAUUUGUAAAAUUUUCGAGGGUAAAGAGAAUGUGACGAAGGGUGCUAAAAAUGUGAGGAUUCCUCACAUUCUUUGUACAAUUCCUCACAUUAUUCGUACCUUCUACAAUUACUUAGUGUUUUAAUUUUUUAAUUUUCUUAAAAGUAAUAUUAUAGACCCCUUUUGGUGAGGGGCCCCGGGGAAGAGUUUUUCUUUACUUCUUUGCAUUUCUUUUUGAAUAAGGAGGGGGGCCCCUUUUCUGCUGGAGGGGAAGCCGGAUUGGACGUGCAAUCAUGGAUGGCCAAAUUGGCAGUUGAGGAGGCCAUGCUGCUGAUGGAGGAACAGGAAAGCAAGUAGAGACUUGCCAAGGAAGAUAGAAAAUAGAGGUUCCUUUGGUUGAGAAGGCAUCGGUGGGAAGGGAGAGGGUAGCCAGUGGAAGGAAAGAAAGAAGAAAAAACAGAGCAACUCAGGGAACUGGGUCAGUCUUGCUGGUGAAGAGGCAACUUGCAGGUUAGAUCCCCAGACACUUCGUACUCCAUCACUUUCUCAUCAUUCUGGCUAUUAGAUGUUAAACAUCGUUCAGUUAUUUCCGUUGAUUCCUGAAUAUUGUUUUUUUUUUUUAAGUGAUGUUUGAGGAUCCAAGUUUAACUCAUAUUUAAACUCAGGGUACGGAGAAUGUGAGGUAAGGUAUGAAGAAUGUGAGGAUUUCUCAUAAUCUUCAUACCUUUUCUCACAUUUUUCGUAUCCUCUCUAAUUUUUUAGUGUUUUAAUUUUUUAAUUUUUUAGGAUAAUUUACAUUAUUUCCAAUUUUAAAUUUUUUUAAUGUUUAAUUUUUUUUUUUAACAAUUCUAUCAAUAAUAACUCAAAAUAAUAUUAUUAAACUAUGUUAUUGUUAUUUCAAGUUAAAAAGUAAAUCUAAAAUUUUAAAAAUAUAAAUAAUUUAGGGUACAAAAAAUAUGAGAACGGUAUGAAAAAUGUGAUAAAUACAUGUUUGGUACUUUUAUCACAUUUUUCAUAUUGAUUUUUAGUUUAAAAAUUUUUGAAAUUACAAAUUUAUUUUCGAAAAUACUAUCAUUAGUAACUUAAAAGAGUAUUAGUAAUUUAUUUUAUUGUAAUUUAACUUUAAAAACCUUAAAUUCAAAAAAUGUAAAAUUUGGAGAGUACGGAAAAAAAUUAGGACGAUCUAAUUACCUAAACUUUACAUAUGAUUACCAAAAUGUUGAAUUUUUAUGAAAAUACUCAUUUCAUAUUAAAAUAUUACCAUAUUCAUUUUUAUGUUGAAUUUAAAUGUUUAAUAAUUUGUUAAAAAUAAAAUAACGUAAUUCUGAUAUAUGAUGAUUUUUUUUGUUAAUAAAUAUGUUUUCAAAUUUUAUAUCAUUUUAUUUUUUUCCAAUUCUAUUUUUAUCUAAUAUUUAUUUUAUUUAAACCCAAAAUUGUUGAGAAUGGAGGAAGAAAGAAUGCCACAACCGGUUCUUCCCUUAACUGGUUAAGUAGAAUUUUUAUUUCACAUUUAAAAUGGAUGGCCAAGAUGUAAUCUUGGACAUCCAAUGGCUUGAAAAGCUUUUUGGGUAGGUACCGAAGAGGUACCCUAGAAUUUUCCGUAAUUUUCCUAAUUAGUUGCCUUCGUUGCAACUUAGAACCAGAGAGAGAAGAGCAAACGAAUUAUCCAAAUAGAGAAAUUUCUUUACAACUUUUGUUUUCCCAUCUUUCAACUUAGAAAAAUUGUUUAAACAACCCAAUCACACUGGUUGAUGCGGGAAAAAGUGAGUUAUGAUUCACGGUUUAAAAAAAUAUAAUUUUUUUUAAUUUAUAAAUUUAUUUUACUUUUUUCUUUUAAUUUUUUUAAAAAAUAUACAUAUAAUUAAAUAAUUAUUUUAUAAAAUGACUUUUUUUACUUAUUAUAAUAAUUAACAUCAAUUAAUAGGUGAAUACAUUUUAAUAGAUUCACUUUAAUUAUGUUGGAGGAUGUCAAUAGAUUACUUUUAGUUAUAGUUUUUUUUAUUCAGCAAAAAAUACAAUCACCACCUUAGUUAUGAUUUUCUUUUUUAAUUGUGAUACUUGAUUAUAAUUUUUUUUCUCUCUCUAAAAACAAACAUUGGAUCAUCGAACAACAACAAUAAAAUAAAAUAUUUAAAUUUUUUUAAAUACAAUUAAGACUAAAAUAAUUAAAUUUUUUAAAAAAAUAUUGACUCUCAAUAUAUUUAUAUAUCUUUCUUAAUAUCUAUAUUUUUUAUUUUAUGUGAAGUGAAAGUGAAUAUUUUAAUUUUUUUUGUUUUAAUUUAAUUUUGAAAUUUAAAAUUUUCUUAUUAUUUGAUAAUUUUAUUUAAUGUUAUUGAAUAAAAUAAAUACGAGGUGAUUUCAAAAUAUGAAUUGAUUUAUGAAAAAUAUAUAUAUUUUAAAAUAUUUUUAAAUGAAUGAAAAUAAAAUUAAUUUAUAAAAUUUGAAUUUUAAAAUAUUUACUGUGAAACAAGGUAAAAUUAAUUUAUAAAAUUUAGGAUUUUCCUUAUAGUUUCAAGGAGCUUUGACCCAAGAUAGUACAUUUAAAAAAAGAAAUUCCAAAAACUAAACUUGUUUACAAAAUAAUGCUCAAUCUAAUGCGUCUGUGCCACAGUUUCCACAGUUUUAACAUGGUCAAAGCCGUAGUCACCAACUGCGACUUUAACUUUAUAUCUAUUUUUAUAUAAUUUUAAUUUUUUAAAUAAAAAUAUUAUAUUAUUUUGAUUUUAAAUAUACUUAUUUCAUUAUUUAAAAAAUAAUAAUAUAUGAAAUUAAAUAAUUAAAAUUUUUAAUUUGAUAUAAAAAUAUAUUUUUUAAUUUUAUUAAAAUAAUAGGCACUAUAUUUAAUAUAAAUAUAUUUAGUUAAUUAUAUUUAAAUAUAAAUAAAAUAUAAUAAAUUAUGAAAGCCUAUUAAAAAAACAAAUAAUAUAAAUUAUUAUAUUAAUUAAUAAUUUUUUAUAUGCUAUAUGUAAGUGGUAUAUAAUAUCACAUGUAUAUAAGUUCAAUUAAGUUUAAAAUUUAUCAUAUUUUAAUUUAAGUUCAUAAUAUCAUAUCUAUGAUAAUAAUUUAUUUAUAUAUUUAAAUAAAAAUGUGAUAAAUUUUAAACUUAAAUUAAACUUUUAUAUAUAUAUAUAUAUAUAUAUAUAUGUGUGUGUGUGUGUGUGUGAUAUUAUAUACCACUUACAUAUAAUAUAUAUAAAAAUAUUAAUUAAUAUAAUAAUUUAUAUAUAUUUUUCUAAAUAGGCAUUUAUAAUUUAUUUAUUUUAAAUAAAUAUAAUUUAUUAUAUUUUAUUUAUAUUUAAUUUUAAUUAACUAAUUAUAUUUAUAUUAAAUAUAGUGUCAAUUGUUUUAAUAAAAUUUAUUUAUAUAUUUAAAUAAAAAUGUGAUAAAUUUUAAACUUACAUUAAACUUUUAUAUAUAUAUAUGUGAUAUUAUAUACCUCUUACAUAUAAUAUAUAAAAAAAUUAUUAAUUAAUAUAAUACUUUAUAUUAUUUAUUUUUUUCUAAAUAGGCAUUUAUAAUUUAUUUAUUUUAAAUAAAUAUAAUUUAUUAUAUUUUAUUUAUAUUUAAUUUUAAUUAACUAAUUAUAUUUAUAUUAAAUAUAAUGCCUAUUGUUUUAAUAAAAUUAAAAAAUUUAUUUUUAUAUCAAAUUAAAAAUAUCAAUUAUUUAAUUUCAUAUAUUAUUAUUUUUUAAAUAAUAAAAUAAAUAUAUUUAAAAUCAAAAUAAUAUAAUAUUUUUAUUUAAAAAUUAUAUAUAAAUAUAUAUAUAAAGUUAAAGUCGUAGUUGAUGAUUACGGUUUUGACCAUUUUUUAAAAUCGUGACAGCUUUAAAUUUAAAGUUAAAACCGUGGUUAGUAAUUAUGGUUUCUAACUAUUUUUAAAAAAUAAAAUUAUAAUUAUCAAUUAUAGUUUUAUGAUAUAGCACUUUGUGGCACAUGUUAAAUUAGACAUUAUUUUGGAAAGAAGUUUAGUUUUUAGAAUUUUUUUUUAAAUGUACUGGGUCAAAGCUCAGUUUCAAGUUUUAAUUAGUCAAGUCAUUCACGCAUUUUGUGGGCUCCACAAUGCCUACCAAACUAUUUUUCUGCACCACCGCUUAUCCACCCAAUAGUCAACACCGAGUGAAUGGUCCAAUGCCUACAAUGAAAACGAUUGAUGUAUGGAAAUGACAAUAAAGUCCAUAGUCCCAUAAUCAACUAAGAAAAGUACCUGCGAUCAAAACUUCCAAGCAAUCUUGUGGUUAAAAAACGGUUUUAUGUUUUUAAAAACAAAAAUUUGUUUUUAAAAUUUCAUAAUAUUGUGGGGUCAUUGUUAUUUAUUUCUAAUUUUUAGAAAUAAAGUAAAAUUUUAAACAAUUUUUAAAGAACGUACAGAACUUGUUUUAUUUUUAUUUUUAAAAAUAAAAAAACAUAAAAUGCCAUUUUUUCUCUCUCCACAAUCUAAUCCUAAUACAAAAAAAUCUUGAAAUAUUAUUUUUCUUUAAUUGCAUGUGGUUUUCUAGCUUUCUUUUAACUUUUCUUAAAUUUUUCAUUAAGUAAAUAAAUUUGGAAUCAAACUAUACCUCAUUCGUAAAAUUUAUUAAUUUUUAAAAUUAAUUUGAAACUCAAAAACCAAUUUAAUUAGUAUUAAAAAGUAAAAAACACAAUAAUAUUAUAAAUUCAUAGGUAAAAAUUUAUUUUAAAUAACUUGGUUAGUUUCUUCUUCACAUACAACAUAUUUUUAUAAUUUUUUUCACUAAACAAAUAAACUCAAAAUUAAUUAAGAUUUUAUAUGUUGAAUUCAUUAAUGAAUUUAAUAAUUUUAAAAAAAAAUUUAAAACUCAAAUAAUUGUCUAAUUAAUACCAUCAAUUUAUAAAUAAAAAUUGAUUUCAAAUGACUAUUUUUUAUUUUCUAUGUAGAAUUAUUACUUUCUUAUAUUUUUUUCUAUUAUGCAAAUGGAUUCCAAAUUAAACAAGACUUAAUGUCUUAACUUAUCAACGAGUAUAGUAAUUUUUAAAAAUAACUUAAAACUUAAAUAGUGAACCAAUUAAUAUUAAAAGUUUACGGAUAAAAAUUGCUUUAGAAUAACUCUAUUUUUUUUCUUCAUAUAAUUAUUAUUAUACCAUUUUUUAAAUAAAUAAACUCUAAAUGCAAUUAUGCAUUUUACAAUCUUUUCUAAAGGUAAUUACAAAUUUCUUUAGUUGUUUUCCAUCUUCCAACCCAAAAAAUUGUUGAAAUUAUUUUUCCGGUCUGUUCCCUUUUUCAGUAUUAUCAGCAUCUCUAAGUCAUGAACUUAUGAGUUAUGACUAUUUCAAUGAAAAUAUAAAAAAAUAUUGUGAAUAUUCAACUAUUUCACUUGAAGUUACCCAAAUAUGAAAAAAAGGAUUGAAGGGUGCAAUCAUGCAACCCAAUGGCAUUGAUUGAUGCUCGGGUCUUUGUUUUUAAUUAUUCAAGUCAUUCACGCGCUUUGUGGGCUCCACAAUGCCUGAAACUUCAAUUCAAUGUACAGACCAUUUUCCUGCGCUUUCACAAGGCUUGAAAGACUACUGCAAAGGCUUUCACAGCAACUGCUACUCUCGCUAAUUUGCUUUGGUUAUUCGAGAGUUUGAAUUUUGCUGAAAACAUGUUUGUGGCGGAGGCGGCUGUGUCUUCCAUCUUUGAUCUGGUGCUUGAGAAGUUGGUGGCUGCCCCUUUGUUGGAGAAUGCACGUAGUCAGAAUGUUGAGGCCACUCUCCAAGAAUGGAGGAGGAUUUUGUUGCAUAUUGAAGCUGUGCUGACUGAUGCUGAGCAGAAGCAGAUAAGGGAGAGAGCUGUUAAGCUUUGGUUGGAUGAUCUCAAAUCUUUGGUUUACGACAUGGAAGAUGUUCUGGACGAGUUCAACACUGAAGCUAAUCUGCAGAUCGUGAUACAUGGACCCCAAGCUAGCACCAGUAAGGUACACAAGCUCAUCCCAACUUGUUUUGCUGCUUGUCAUCCUACAUCUGUGAAAUUUACUGCAAAGAUUGGGGAAAAGAUAGAGAAAAUUACAAGGGAGUUAGAUGCUGUUGCAAAACGAAAGCAUGACUUUCAUUUAAGGGAGGGUGUUGGAGGGUUGUCGUUUAAGAUGGAAAAAAGGUUACAAACCACUUCUUUGGUAGAUGAGUCUAGCAUUUAUGGUAGGGAUGCUGAGAAGGAGGCUAUCAUUCAAUUUCUCUUAUCCGAGGAAGCCUCCAGGGAUAAUGGUGAUAAUGGAGUUUCUGUAGUUCCCAUCGUAGGUAUGGGUGGGGUUGGUAAAACAACCCUGGCUCAAAUUAUCUACCAUGAUAAGAGGGUGGAGAGCCACUUUCAUACCAGGAUUUGGGUUUGUGUAUCGGAUCGAUUUGAUGUGACAGGGAUAACCAAAGCAAUUCUAGAGUCCGUCACUCAUAGUUCAACUGAUUCUAAGAACUUGGACUCAUUACAAAAUAGCCUGAAGAAUGGAUUGAAUGGGAAAAAAUUCUUCCUCGUUCUAGAUGAUGUGUGGAACGAGAAGCCCCAAAACUGGGAUGCCUUAAAGGCUCCUUUUAGGGCUGGUGCACAAGGCAGUAUGAUCAUAGUAACAACUCGUAAUGAAGAUGUUGCAUCGAUUAUGCGCACUACUGCCUCUUCUCAUCACCUUGAUGUGCUAUCCUAUGAAGAGUGUCGGCUAUUAUUUGCAAAACACGCCUUUGCACAUAUGAAUACAAACAUCCGCCAAAAGUUGGAACCAAUUGGUGAGAAGAUAGUAAGAAAAUGCAGAGGCUUGCCUUUGGCUGCAAAGUCGCUUGGAAGUCUAUUACACACUAAACAAGAUGAAAAUGCUUGGAAUGAAGUACUGAAUAAUGGCAUAUGGGAUUUUCAAAUUGAGCAAAGUGACAUUCUUCCGGCUUUAUACUUGAGUUACCAUUAUCUUCCAACAAAUUUGAAACGAUGUUUUGCAUAUUGCUCCAUAUUCCCCAAGGACUAUAAAUUUGAAAAAAGGAACUUAGUGCUGUUAUGGAUGGCCGAAGGCUUAUUAGGUGGCUCCAAAAGAGAGGAAACUAUAGAAGAUUAUGGUAACAUGUGUUUUGACAAUCUACUUUCAAGAUCUUUCUUCCAACAAGCUAGUGAUGAUGAAUCAAUAUUUUUGAUGCAUGAUUUGAUCCAUGAUUUAGCACAAUUUGUAUCGGGAAAAUUCUGCUCUUCGUUGGAUGAUGAAAAGAAAAGUCAAAUUUCCAAACAGACUCGACAUUCUUCUUACGUUAGGGCAGAGCAAUUUGAACUCUCCAAGAAAUUUGAUCCAUUUUAUGAAGCUCAUAAUUUGCGGACCUUUCUUCCUGUACAUUCAGGUUAUCAAUAUCCUCGUAUCUUUUUAAGCAAGAAGGUCUCAGAUCUUUUAUUGCCAACAUUGAAAUGCUUACGGGUUCUCUCUUUACCUGAUUAUCAUAUUGUGGAGUUGCCUCACUCAAUUGGAACUUUGAAACACCUACGCUACUUAGAUCUUUCUCAUACUUCAAUUAGAAGGCUCCCUGAAUCAAUAACCAACCUUUUCAACUUGCAGACAUUGAUGUUGUCAAAUUGUGAUUCUCUUACUCAUUUGCCCACAAAAAUGGGGAAACUAAUCAACUUGCGUCAUCUUGAUAUUAGUGGCACUAGAUUAAAGGAGAUGCCAAUGGGAAUGGAAGGGUUGAAACGUCUUCGAACAUUGACUGCUUUUGUUGUUGGUGAGGAUGGAGGGGCAAAAAUUAAAGAGUUGAGGGACAUGUCACACCUUGGUGGCAGACUUUGCAUUUCCAAGUUGCAGAAUGUGGUGGAUGCUAUGGAUGUCUUCGAGGCUAAUUUGAAAGGCAAGGAGCGUCUUGAUGAGUUAGUAAUGCAGUGGGAUGGCGAAGCUACUGCUCGUGAUUUGCAGAAGGAAAC
rnacentral:lncRNA from 1 species